rnacentral:rRNA from 1 species
GGCAGCCGCCGCGGGAACACCGGCGGCCCGAGUGGUGAUCGUGAUUAUUGGGUCUAAAGGGUCCGUAGCCGGUUUGGUCAGUCCUCCGGGAAAUCUGAUAGCUCAACUAUUAGGCUUUCGGGGGAUACUGCCAGACUUGGAACCGGGAGAGGUAAGAGGUACUACAGGGGUAGGAGUGAAAUCUUGUAAUCCCUGUGGGACCACCUGUGGCGAAGGCGUCUUACCAGAACGGGUUCGACGGUGAGGGACGAAAGCUGGGGGCACGAACCGGAUUAGAUACCCGGGUAGUCCCAGCCGUAAACGAUGCUCGCUAGGUGUCAGGCAUGGCGCGACCGUGUCUGGUGCCGCAGGGAAGCCGUGAAGCGAGCCACCUGGGAAGUACGGCCGCAAGGCUGAAACUUAAAGGAAUUGGCGGGGGAGCACAACAACGGGUGGAGCCCUGCGGUUUAAUUGGACUCAACGCCGGACAACUCACCGGGGGCGACAGCAAUAUGUAGGCCAAGCUGAAGACUUUGCCUGAAUCGCUGAGAAGUGGUGCAUGG